UGGUCUACAAGAAUGUGUGGCUGAUGGCGACACCUGAUCCAGUGGUCACCAUGGUUAUCGCCGUCAGCGGUUCUCCUUGUCUUCAGGAGUACUUUCGAAAGGUCUUCAGAUGUUAAGCCUAUCAAGAAUAAUAUCUCAAUUAUCAAAGACCUUAGAGAACUAAGACUUCAUCUAUAAUAGAAUCUCAAUAAUUGACCAUGGUUUGGCUUUUGGCUGGUAACAACGUUAGUGAGGUAGAUGUCCUUCACCCCCUUCUGAAGCUAAAGGUUCCGGACUGGUGCCACAACAAUCUCUGGGACGAGGAGGAUAUAC